UACGUAGGGUGCAAGCGUUGUCCGGAAUUAUUGGGCGUAAAGAGCUCGUAGGCGGCUUGUCACGUCGGCUGUGAAAACCUGGGGCUCAACCCCGGGCCUGCAGCCGAUACGGGCAAGCUAGAAUUCGGUAGGGGAGACUGGAAUUCCUGGUGUAGCGGUGAAAUGCGCAGAUAUCAGGAGGAACACCGGUGGCGAAGGCGGGGUCUCUGGGGCCGAUAUUGACGCUGAGGAGCGAAAAGCGUGGGGGAGCGAACAGG
rnacentral:rRNA from 1 species